AGCCAGAAGAAAAUAUUUUUGGUCAAACCUGCCCAAUGUGUAAAUGAAUGGCCGCGGUACCCUGACCGUGCUAAGGUAGCGUAAUCAGUUGGCUUUUAAUUGGAGUCAGGUAUGAAUGGGAUAACCUGGUUUAGCUGUCUCUAAAUUAUUCCUUUGAAUUUACUGUUUAAGUGAAAAAGCUUAAAACCUACAAAGGGACGAGAAGACCCUUAGAAUUUUUUUUAAUAAGAUUUAUCUUUCUGAUUUUGUUGGGGCGACAGAGAAAAAUUAAAAACUUUCCUUAUAAAUUACAAGCCGAAUUUUAAGUUAGAAUAAAUUACCUGAGGGAUAACAGCAUAAUUCUAAAAUUGAGUUUGUGACCUCGAUGUUGGACUAGGAAACUAGCAGAUUAGCCGUUUGUUGUGUGGGUUCUGUUCGAACUUUAAUUCCU
rnacentral:rRNA from 1 species